UACGUAGGCGGCAAGCGUUAUCCGGAUUUACUGGGCGUAAAGCGUGCGUAGGCGCGUCGUAAAGUCAGCGGUGAAAUACCAGGGCCUAACCUUGGAAACGCUACUGAUACUCACGACAUUGAGAGUAAGAGAGGGCAUCGGAACUUUGUAAGUAGCAGUGAAAUGCGUUGAUAUACAAAGGAACACCAAAGGCGAAGGCAGGUGCCUAGAUUACUUCUGACGCUGAGGCACGAAAGCUAGGGGAGCGAAAGGG
rnacentral:rRNA from 1 species